GAGUGAUCGGUAAUGUUCUGUUCGGUGUUACAGUGGCGGAGUGAUCGAUGAUGUUCUGUUCGGUGUUACAGUGGCGGAGUGAUCGGUGAUGUUCUGUUCGGUGUUACAGUGGCGGAGUGAUCGGUGAUGUUCUGUUCGGUGUUACAGUGGCGGAGUGAUCGGUGAUGUUCUAUUCGGUGUUACAGUGGCGGAGUGAUCGGUAAUGUUCUGUUCGGUGUUACAGUGGCGGAGUGAUCGGUGAUGUUCUGUUCGAUGUUACAGUGGCGGAGUGAUCGGUGAUGUUCUGUUCGGUGUUACAGUGGCGGAGUGAUCGGUGGUAUAGUGUCUGCUAUUGGGUCUGGAAUCACAAUAACAAUCAUCAGCAUGUUGUUGCCUCAGACGAAUCAGAAGAAAUGCGAACAAUGCAAGUGUUUUGUUCUGCAACGUUAACCCAACCGAUCAGCACACGAUCGUCACAUCAAAUGUUUCUUAAGGAGUCACCUUCCCUACACAGCCAUAUGUGCACAGUGGACAAUAUAAUACUGCGUUCCAGUACGGAGCGAGUGCUCUGAACCAGAAGAAUGGAGACGCUCCUCGACUAUCACAUAACGUGCCAACGCCACCAAACCAGUCUGUCGUUGGUCAAAAUGGCGUUGCAUAUCCUCACCGUCCAACAAAAGGAAACAUUUCCAACGCGGCAGCUCCUCCAUCGAAUAAAUUUUGAUUUGAUUAUUUAGUUUAUAAUAAUAUUUAUAAAAUGUGUUUUAUUCAAGUAUUAGUAUUAUGUAGCAUACAUUACAUUUUAAGUAUUAGGAAAUAUCACUUCAUUUCACGUCUUCAGCAUCGUUGAACCUGAUUUUAUUUUCCCCCAUUUUUAUUCCAAGCGGUGAGAUCUCUCGAAUUUUGUAAACCUUUAUUUUUUUAUUAGUCUUUGUGUAUUUUCCUUUAUGAAAAUGCUAUAGUAUUGUGUUGUUUGGAAUCAUACAUUCUAGUCAAUGGGACUAUUGAAUUUGAGUUACCGUACCAAUAUUGAAUGUUUACUGAAUAUUGACAAUAACGACAAAUAACGACUUUCAGCUUCUCUAUUGAUAACUUCCCAUAUUCACUGAAUCUUUUCUCUUAUAUAUUUCUUUUGAAAUUGACAUUGUUUUCAUCUGUGACAAUGAAUGAAUCUUUCUUGCAAACUAGUUUGAUCCGGGUUUUUUGUACCCACCUGUCCGUGUAAUCAUGACCAAAUAUGGAGCGUCAUCAAGGUCAAGGGGUGCAUUGGCUGUGAUUUUAACUAUUUCAGACAAAGCUUUGCAGAAAUAAAUACAGGUUAUCGAGAUAUGUCAUAUCUGUCUAUAUCUACAACGACGUUGCGGAGGGUAUAAUGUUUCUGACCCAUCUGUCAGUCCCUUUCUUGUCAGCGCAACUCCUCUGAGACCGCUCAACAGAAUUCCAUGAAACGUUGUAGUUAAUAAGGACACACUGUGUAGAUGUGCAUAUUCCCAGGAAAUUCUUAUUCAAUCAUUUUUCUGGUAGUUAUGCCCCCUUUCAACUUAGAAUUUCAAGCCUGUCUGUCUUGUUCUUGUCAGCGCAACUCCUCAGAGACCGUUCAACAGAAUUUCGUGAAAGAGGGUGUUGCACCUAAGCGGGAAUUUUCCCUAAGUCCUUCAUAUUUAGGAAUAGCAAAAAAGGAUGUACAAGAAAUGGUGAAUUUUGCAACGCCAAGGUUUUAACUUUAGGAUGGGUCCAAAUUAGUCAUAUCGUUUAAUGUUAAUGCAUAUAUUAUAUUAUGUAAAGCCUUUCAUCAAUGUAUGCACUUUUGCAUCUUCGCAAGCCAAGCGAAUCGGACACUUGGCUUGCGAAGAUGGCAAUUUUGAGGGCAUUGAAGUUUUAAGAACACUUCUUGUUUUAUACUGUUGCUAAAUAUUAGAAUUUAGCUUACAUAUUCAGAACAGGACUUUUUUCUACAUUCCAGUACCCAUGGGAUUAAUGAUACUUUUGACUAGUACUCAGGUGACCGAUUAGGCCUGUGGACCUCUUAUUGUUAUCAAUUUAAGUCGCGCCGUAAACACUUUGUAGAGAAUGUUUACCAAGAGUACAAUAUCUACUACAAAGGCCUAUUGUUUAACAUUCCACUCGAGAACUUUUCACUCACAUGUAGACGUCACCAUUACCGGUGACGAGCUGCAAAAUUUAGACCUAUCCUCGGCGCUUACAGCCGUUGAGCAGAGAGGGAUCUUUAUCGUGCCACACCUACUGUGACACGGGACAUCCGAUUUUGCGGUCUCAUCCGAAGGACCGCCCCAUUUAGUCGCCUCUUACGACAAGCAAGGGGUACUGAGGAUCUAUCCUAACCCGGAUCCCCACGGGAUUUAUGAUUAGUGCAUCAUUAUGUACCAUAAAGGUGUAGAAAAACAUGCCCUCACCAACAUUUGUACAAUGGCUUUCGAAGAUUUCAAGCAGUUAUUAAAUAUUGAUGGCGCUGGUGGAGGUGGUAAUGUCUACGAAACUCCUCAUGUAUUAUCAAUAAAUAUAUUUUGAAGUAAUUUUUACAACUGGUAAGAUUUCUUUGCUAUUAUGAAGAGGUAAUAUCAUUCCCUAUUAUUGUUAUGCGAACCAUUUUGUCCCCUUUAUAUUCACAAAAUCAAAAAUUCAACUUUUCAUAGAAAAGAUUAUUAAUUAAAGUAAGUAUUUUCAUGUAUAAGCUGUCUCCUGCUACAUGUAUGUACACAAGCAAAGGGAGUAUAAAUGUAACAGAAGUUGAGGUUGUGAAAAGUACCUUAAAAGACCAAGUGCUAGAUCCCCCAUUUUAAAAAUUCCUGGAUCCGCCUAUGAACCAUAUUGUUACUUGUAUUAUAACAGAUUAAACGGUUUGUAGUAAAAUACUUCUCUAUUAUCUUAUAUAUAGAAUCAUAUAAAUUUGUUUACA